rnacentral:rRNA from 1 species
AGCAGUAGGGAAUCUUCCACAAUGGACGAAAGUCUGAUGGAGCAAUGCCGCGUGAGUGAAGAAGGGUUUCGGCUCGUAAAACUCUGUUGUUAAAGAAGAACACCUUUGAGAGUAACUGUUCAAGGGUUGACGGUAUUUUACCAGAAAGCCACGGCUAACUACGUGCCAGCAGCCGCGGUAAUACGUAGGUGGCAAGCGUUGUCCGGAUUUAUUGGGCGUAAAGCGAGCGCAGGCGGUUUUUUAAGUCUGUAUGUGAAAGCCUUCGGCUUAACCGGAGAAGUGCAUCGGAAACUGGGAGACUUGAGUGCAGAAGAGGACAGUGGAACUCCAUGUGU